CCUACGGGAGGCUGCAGUGGGGAAUAUUGCACAAUGGGCGAAAGCCUGAUGCAGCAACGCCGCGUGAGCGAUGAAGGCCUUCGGGUCGUAAAGCUCUGUCCUCAAGGAAGAUAAUGACGGCACUUGAGGAGGAAGCCCCGGCUAACUACGUGCCAGCAGCCGCGGUAAUACGUAGGGGGCUAGCGUUAUCCGGAAUUACUGGGCGUAAAGGGUGCGUAGGUGGUUUCUUAAGUCAGAGGUGAAAGGCUACGGCUCAACCGUAGUAAGCCGUUGAAACUGGGAGACGUGAGUGGAGGAGAGGAGGGUGGAAUUCGUGGUGUAGCGGUGAAAUGCGUAGAUAUCACGAAGAACCCCGAUUGCGAAGGCAGCCCUCUGGAGCGUAACUGACACUGAGGCACGAAAGUGUGGGGAGCGAACAGGAUUAGAUACCCCGGUAGUC
rnacentral:rRNA from 1 species